rnacentral:rRNA from 1 species
UGUCCAGACUCCUACGGGAGGCAGCAGUGGGGAAUAUUGGGCAAUGGGCGCAAGCCUGACCCAGCAACGCCGCGUGAAGGAAGAAGGCUUUCGGGUUGUAAACUUCUUUUCUUGGGGACGAAGAAAGUGGCGGUACCCAAGGAAUAAGCCACGGCUAACUACGUGCCAGCAGCCGCGGUAAUACGUAGGGGGCAAGCGUUAUCCGGAUUUAUUGGGCGUAAAGGGCGUGUAGGCGGGAAUGCAAGUCAGAUGUGAAAACUAUGGGCUCAACCCAUAGCCUGCAUUUGAAACUGUGCUUCUUGAGUACUGGAGAGGCAGACGGAAUUCCUAGUGUAGCGGUGAAAUGCGUAGAUAUUAGGAGGAACACCAGUGGCGAAGGCGGUCUGCUGGACAGCAACUGACGCUGAGGCGCGAAAGCGUGGGGAGCAAACAGGAUUAGAUACCCGGGUA